rnacentral:lncRNA from 1 species
AAAAUGUUAGGGGUCGGUGGUUAGGGAUGCAAACGGAUCCGGGUUGGUGGAGCUUCCGCCCCGAUCCGUCCCGACAGGGGCAGUAAAUGGAAGAAAAUAAACGAAUUCGGGGCAGGAAACAGGUAAGUUUUACGAUCCGAGACGGAUUCGGGGCAGAAAACGGGGGAAAUUUUGAUCCGCCCCGAAUCCGCCCCGAAUCCGUCCUGUCAUGAUCCGCCCCGAAUCCGUCCCGAAUCUACCCCGAAUCCGCCCCGUCAUGAUCCGCCCCGAAUCCGCCCCGAAUAUCAUUUAUAUUUUUUAAAAAAUAUUCCUAAAAAAUAAUAUAUUUACAAAAAAGCUCAAAAUACAAAUAAGUUAUUACUCUUAUUUCUAAUGUAUUUGAAACAUUUGAAUUUUGUUUUGAAUUGUGAUUGAUAUUUUUAAUUUUUACUAUUAAUAUUGUUAAAUUAUAUAUAUAAUAUUAUUAAAAAUUAUUAAUUUAUAUUUUACAAAAUAUUAAUAAUAUUAUAAUUUUAUAAAAAAUAUUAGUUGGCGGGAUGGAUUCAGGACGCCGGCGGGAAGCAAGUUACGAGGGGGGGCGGAUUAUGAGAUGUAUUUUUUAACCCGUCAUAGAUUCGGGGCGGGAGGCAGGGUNCGAGGGGGGGCGGAUUAUGAUAUGUAUUUUUUAACCCGUCAUGGAUUCGGGGCGGGAGGCAGGGUGGGUUUUUGCUAGUAGGGGCUGGAGGCGGGCGGAU